GACGAACGCUGGCGGCGUGCUUAACACAUGCAAGUUGAACGGAAAGGCCCUGCUUUUGUGGGGUGCUCGAGUGGCGAACGGGUGAGUAACACGUGAGUAACCUGCCCUUGACUUUGGGAUAACUUCAGGAAACUGGGGCUAAUACCGGAUAGGAGCUCCUGCUGCAUGGUGGGGGUUGGAAAGUUUCGGCGGUUGGGGAUGGACUCGCGGCUUAUCAGCUUGUUGGUGGGGUAGUGGCUUACCAAGGCUUUGACGGGUAGCCGGCCUGAGAGGGUGACCGGCCACAUUGGGACUGAGAUACGGCCCAGACUCCUACGGGAGGCAGCAGUGGGGAAUAUUGCACAAUGGGCGGAAGCCUGAUGCAGAAACGCCGCGUGCGGGAUGACGGCCUUCGGGUUGUAAACCGCUUUCGCCUGUGACGAAGCGUGAGUGACGGUAAUGGGUAAAGAAGCACCGGCUAACUACGUG
rnacentral:rRNA from 1 species